GACGAACGCUGGCGGCGUGCCUAAUACAUGCAAGUAGGACGCAGUUGCUAACGGGUGAGUAACGCGUAGGUCACUACCUCUUAGAGUGGGAUAACUAUUGGAAACGAUAGCUAAUACCGCAUAUUAGUAGAUGGACCUGUGUUGUAUUAGCUAGUAGGUAGGGUAAUGGCCUACCAAGGCAAGGAUACAUAGCCGACCUGGGAGGGUGAUCGGCCCCACUGGGACUGGGAGACGGCCCAGACUCCUACGGGGGCACGCAGUAGGGAAUCUUCGGCAAUGGGGGGAACCCUGACCGAGCAACGCCGGGUGAGUGGAGAAGGUUUUCGGAUCGUAAAGAUCUGUUGUUAAGGAAGCGGUACUUAACCAGAAAGGGACGGCUAACUACGUGCCAGCAGCCGCGAUAAUUC
rnacentral:rRNA from 1 species